GACGAACGCUGGCGGCGUGCUUAACACAUGCAAGUCGAACGCUGAAGCUCAGCUUUUGUUGGGUGGAUGAGUGGCGAACGGGUGAGUAACACGUGAGUAACCUGCCCCCUUCUUUGGGAUAACGCCCGGAAACGGGUGCUAAUACUGGAUAUUCACUGGUCUUCGCAUGGGGGUUGGUGGAAAGGGUUUUUCUGGUGGGGGAUGGGCUCGCGGCCUAUCAGCUUGUUGGUGGGGUGAUGGCCUACCAAGGCUUUGACGGGUAGCCGGCCUGAGAGGGUGACCGGUCACAUUGGGGCUGAGAUACGGCCCAGACUCCUACGGGAGGCAGCAGUGGGGAAGAUUGCACAAUGGGCGCAAGCCUGAUGCAGCGACGCCGCGUGAGGGAUGGAGGCCUUCGGGUUGUGAACCUCUUUCGCUCAUGGUCAAGCCGCAACAAUGGUUGUGGUGAGGGUAGUGGGUAAAGAAGCGCCGGCUAACUACGUG
rnacentral:rRNA from 1 species